UACGUAGGGGCCGAGCGUUGUCCGGAGUUAUUGGGCGUAAAGCGCGCGCAGGCGGCUUGACGCGCCCGACGUGAAAGCCCCCGGCUUAACCGGGGAGGGUCGUCGGGUACGGUCAGGCUUGAGGGCGGGAGAGGGUGGUGGAAUUCCCGGUGUAGUGGUGAAAUGCGUAGAGAUCGGGAGGAACACCUGUGGCGAAGGCGGCCACCUGGGCCGACCCUGACGCUGAGGUGCGAAAGCGUGGGGAGCAAACAGG
rnacentral:rRNA from 1 species